rnacentral:rRNA from 1 species
GCAGCCGCGGUAAGACGGAGGAUGCAAGUGUUAUCCGGAAUCACUGGGCGUAAAGCGUCUGUAGGUGGUUGAAUAAGUCAACUGUUAAAUCUUGAGGCUCAACCUCAAAAUCGCAGUCGAAACUGUUCGACUAGAGUAUAGUAGGGGUAAAGGGAAUUCCCAGUGGAGCGGUGAAAUGCGUAGAGAUUGGAAAGAACACCGAUSGCGAAGGCACUUUACUGGGCUAUUACUAACACUGAGAGACGAAAGCUAGGGUAGCMAAUGGG